rnacentral:sRNA from 1 species
AAUUUUCUAUUUUCUCAAUUGGUUUAUGUUUAGGGGAUUUUAUGCUUAAUAUUUAUGAGCAACAAUAAGAGGGUUUAAAAUUUAGGGCUUUUGGCAUUUAGGAUUUGUGGUAUAUGGUAUAAGGUAUAAGUAUAUGGUUAAGGGCUUAGUGUCUAUGGAUUAAAGUUUAGGGUUUAAGGUUUAGGGUUUAGGGUUUAGGAUUUAGGCUUUAGGGUUUAGGGUUUAGGGUUUAGGAUUUAGGCUUUAGGGUUUAGGGUUUAGGGAUAAGAGAUUUAUGCUUAAUAUUUAUGGGCAACAUUAAGAAGGUUUAAAGUUUAGAAUUUGAUUUAGGGUUUAUGGUAUAUGGUAUAGGGUAUAUGUAUAUAGUUAAGUUAGUGUCUAUGGAUUAAAGUUUAGGGUUUACGGUUUAAAUUUAGGAGUUAAGGUUUAAUGUUUAGAGUUAAGUAUCUACUGUUUAGUGUUUAGAAUUUAGUGUUAAGGAACUAUGAUUGUUUAUAAUGAUUUUAGAGUUUAUGAUUACAUGGUUCUCACUAAAGAUUAUAUAUUUCAUUGUUGUCCAUAUGAAUUAGAUUAUAUGAAUUUUUUAUUUUCUGAAUUUGUUUAUGUUUUGAUGAUACAAUAAAUAAUAAUACAAAUAAACAUAGUAAUAUGGAUUUCAAAAUGAAGGAAAAAAUGUUAUUAUUAUAUAUUUUACAAAAAAAAUGGUUAAAGAUAUUUUAUAAAAUAAAGAAUGUGACAAAGUAAAGAAAAAUAAAAUUAUAAAAAGGGAGAGAGAAAAGAAAGUAAUCAUUAGAUCUAUUCUCUCUCCUACAUAUUUAAUGGCUGAGAAUAAACAAGUUAACCAUAGUUGGGUUAACUGCUCACAUGAUAGAAAGGUAAAUUGGUAUUGAUUAUUAUUAAAUAGUGAAAAAACUCAAAAAAGUGCCUACUCCCUCCAAAGUGCCCUAAAUACACUUAAAAACUUGGAAAGUGCCCCUAACUUAUAAGCAUGUUAAAAAAAACAUAACCGCCUCCAAGAGUUCAAUAGUUUUUUCUUUGCCCUCAUCGUUCGCAAUCAUGGCUUUUUAAACCCAAUAAGAAAUAUUUAAUACCUGCUAACCCAUAUCAGCCCUCUCAUUUAACAUUCAACUAGAGUUAUAUGGUUAAGAGCAUCUUAAUCAAUGUCUCUUGUCCAUGAUUGCAACCAAGGUGUGUCAAGUGGGGACCACAUGGAAGAAUAUUGUGUCAUUGUGUGUUUAUAAAAGGCUAUUCAUCAUUACCAUUCUACAUAGGUAUUCCAAAUGAUAAACGUUAAGCAAUGGGUUAUUCGUGAACACCAAAUUGUUUAUUGUUUUGCAUUAUGUUGAUCAAAAAAUUAUGUUCGGGAUUGGAGGUGGAUAGAUUCCAGUUUCUUAUCCAUGUGUGAUCAGCUCU